rnacentral:rRNA from 1 species
GACAGAGGGUGCAACCGUUGUUCGGAAUUACUGGGCGUAAAGCGUGUGUAGGCUGCUACAUAAGUCGGAUGUGAAAGCCCCGGGCUCAACCCGGGAAGUGCACUCGAUACUGCGUAGCUUGAGUCUCGGAGAGGUUGGUGGAAUUCUCGGUGUAGAGGUGAAAUUCGUAGAUAUCGAGAGGAACACCGGUGGCGAAGGCGGCCAACUGGACGAAGACUGACGCUGAGACACGAAAGCGUGGGGAGCAAACAGG